GACGAACGCUGGCGGCGUGCUUAACACAUGCAAGUCGAACGAAGUGGCGAACGGGUGAGUAAUACGUGGGUAACCUGCCCUCCUUUUUGGGAUAAGCCUUGGAAACGGGGUCUAAUACCGAAUAAAGGGGGAUGGGCUCGCGGCCUAUCAGCUUGUUGGUGGGGUGGUGGCCUACCAAGGCGGUGACGGGUAGCCGGCCUGGGAGGGUGACCGGCCACAUUGGGCCUGGGAUACGGGCCAGACGCCUACGGGAGGCAGCAGUGGGGGAGAGUGCAAAAUGGACCAAAGUCUGAUCAAGCAAUUCGGUGUGCACGAUGAAGUUUUUAGGAAUGUAAAGUGCUUUCGGUACCAACAGAAGAAGCGACGGCUAAAUACGUGCCAGCAGCCGCGGUAAUAC
rnacentral:rRNA from 1 species